UACGGGGGGAGCAAGCGUUGUUCGGAUUUACUGGGCGUAAAGGGCGCGUAGGCGGCCAGCGCAAGUCAGUUGUGAAAUCUCCGGGCUUAACUCGGAAAGGUCAACUGAUACUGCGCGGCUAGAGUGCAGAAGGGGCAACUGGAAUUCUCGGUGUAGCGGUGAAAUGCGUAGAUAUCGAGAGGAACACCUGCGGCGAAGGCAGCAUACUGGCCGGCAUCUGACGCUGAGGCGCGAAAGCGUGGGUAGCAAACAGG
rnacentral:rRNA from 1 species